GGUGUGGCUCAGUGGUAGAGUGCUUGCCUGGCAUGCGUGAGGCACUGGGUUCUUUCCCCUGCACC
rnacentral:tRNA from 1 species